AUUGAACGCUGGCGGCAGGCCUAACACAUGCAAGUCGAGCGGAUGAAGGGAGCUUGCUCCUGGAUUCAGCGGCGGACGGGUGAGUAAUGCCUAGGAAUCUGCCUGGUAGUGGGGGAUAACGUCCGGAAACGGGCGCUAAUACCGCAUACGUCCUGAGGGAGAAAGUGGGGGAUCUUCGGACCUCACGCUAUCAGAUGAGCCUAGGUCGGAUUAGCUAGUUGGUGGGGUAAAGGCCUACCAAGGCGACGAUCCGUAACUGGUCUGAGAGGAUGAUCAGUCACCCUGGAAACGAAAACACGUUCCGACUCCCUACGGAGGCCAGCGGGGGGAAUAUUGGACCAUUGGCGAAAGGCUGGUCCAGGCCAGCCCCGUGGGGUAAGAAGGUCCUCGGAUUUGUAAGCACUUUAAGUUGGGAGGAAGGGCAGUAAGUUAAUACCUUGCUGUUUUGACGUUACCAACAGAAUAAGCACCGGCUAACUUCGUG
rnacentral:rRNA from 1 species